AACUUAGUUUUAUUCAAUACAUUUUUUUUUUCCUGUUCUCUUUCUAGUUCAACACAAUGAAAUGUGAGACAGGAAGAGAAAAGAAGCUUGAAGGAAUGUGAUAGCAACAAGAUAAAAGCUGUUCAGGACUUGCGAAUUGCCCUUGCUGCAUCAAUGGACGUUAGCGGACCAUCUGAUCCAGAUUGGGCUUGAAGGCGAGGUAUGACUUAGUUUCCUGUUCAAAAACAAAUGAGCAGAAAGAGUUAAAAUCUGAGAAUAUCCU
rnacentral:lncRNA from 1 species